UCUACCCAAAUAUUAUACAAAUUUCUCACUAGACAAAAUAAGCCACUUGUAGAUUCAAGGAAUCGGUCUCAAUUAUGCCGAGAUACAAACCCCCUUCUCUCUGCACUGCCAGGAUAAUUGCUGGUAUGACUAUCAAGAACUUCUCUACUGUACAGCAAAAGCAGAUUCCUUGGGGAAAUUCAUGAAUUGAUAUCAGUUUGCCAACUACUCUAAUUUUUCUGGGAUCAUAACUACACGACUCCUCUGUUAAUGCCCUACAUCAGAUCCAGAUGCUGAGGAGCUGUCACUAUCAGAAUCACUUGAAGAAGAUCCAGAGUCACUGCUAGAGCUGCUAGAACUACUUGACCUAGUUCCAUUAUCUCCCUGUUUCUCUACUUGAACAGGUGACGAAGUGGAAACAUUCCCUUCAUCUGUUUUGGUUUCCAGUGGUGCCUCUGCCACAACUGGUGCUG
rnacentral:misc_RNA from 1 species